UACGUAGGGUGCGAGCGUUAAUCGGAAUUACUGGGCGUAAAGGGUGCGCAGGCGGUUUUGUAAGCCAGAUGUGAAAUCCCCGGGCUCAACCUGGGAAUGGCAUUUGGGACUGCAAGGCUGGAGUUUGGUAGAGGAGACUGGAAUUCCCGGUGUAGCAGUGAAAUGCGUAGAUAUCGGGAGGAAUACCGAUGGCGAAGGCAGGUCUCUGGGCUAUAACUGACGCUCAUGCACGAAAGCGUGGGGAGCAAACAGG
rnacentral:rRNA from 1 species